rnacentral:rRNA from 1 species
GACAGAGGAGCCAAGCGUUGUCCGGAUUGACUGGGCGUAAAGCGCACGCAGGCGGUCGCGCGCGUGGGGUGUGAAAUCUGGCCGCUCAACGGCCAGGCGCCAUCCCAUACGGCGCGACUGGAGUGAUGCAGAGGUCGAUGGAAUUGCCGGUGUAGUGGUGAAAUGCGUAGAGAUCGGCAGGAACACCCAGGGGGAAACCAGUCGACUGGGCAUCUACUGACGCUGAGGUGCGAGAGCGUGGGGAGCGAACCGG